rnacentral:lncRNA from 1 species
UAGAUUUCCGUUUCCCGCUGGCCCUAAUCCCUGUGUUUUAUCCAGGGGUCUGAUGAGCUGCAGGCAGACCAGGACUCUCAUUCACUCUGCAGCAGGUCCUGAAAAAGAAUUGUCUUCUGCCUCCCAGGAUGAAAUACUGCUCAAGGGGACUAGAGAAGCUGAGUUAGCGCCUGUCACUUGAUUAAAUGAGGGUGAAUUUGUUUUCAGUACAGGGAGAACAUAGACUCACAACUGGAGGUCAGUUGGGUGUGAACAAUAAACCUUCAGAAAACACUUCCUUCCAAGCCUGGGGUGACAGCUUGGAGUUUUCAGUACUUGAGGAGGGGUGGGAUUGUUUGACUCACAGAUACGUGCAAUGGGUUCACAGGUUGGGAAGGCAGAGCAAAACUGUAACAGUACAACCAUACUUUGUAAGUUUACAUUGUAUUUGUGUUAACUUACCGUGACUACUGUUCAGCUUUGUUUAGAAACCCUUUUUAUAGGCUUUCUUAGCAAAAAAACAAAAAAGUCCAUAUCGAUGGAUGACACGUCUCAGUCUUCUGUACAUAUAUUUUAUUAAUAUGUAAAUAUUCAGAUUUUUAAAAUUAUAAUGUUCUUUUAAAAGAAUUCAAUGCAAAGCUAGCUGUGAAAAUGGUGUGUAACACUGUGUUGUGAUUUCAACUCCCAAGACGCCCUUUAUGUCCAUUCUGGAAAAAUACAAUAAAUUACUUUAAUUG